rnacentral:rRNA from 1 species
ACUCAAAUGAAUAGACGGGGGCCCGCACAAGCAGCGGAGCGUGUGGUUUAAUUCGACGCAACACGCAGAACCUUACCUAGGCUUGACAUGUACCUGCAACGCGUGGAAACACGUUUCCUUCGAGGGUGGUACACCGGUGCUGCAUGGCUGUCGUCAGCUCGUGUCGUGAGAUGUUGGGUUAAGUCCCGCAACGAGCGCAACCCUUGCCCCAUGUUACUUGUGUCAUGGGGGACUGCCGGUGCGUUGCACCGGAGGAAGGCGGGGAUGACGUCAAGUCCGCAUGGCCCCUACGCCUAGGGCGACACACACGCUACAAUGGCCGGCGGAAUGCGCGGCGACCGAGUAAUCGGGAGCUAAUCGCGAAGGUCGGUCUCAGUUCAGAUUGAGGGCUGCAACUUGCCCUCAUGAAGGCGGAGUUGCUAGUAACCGCGUGUCAGCAAAGCGCGGUGAAUACGUACCCGGGCCUUGUACACACCGCCCGU